UGCGUUUACUUUUCUACAUUGGCUAGAGGUAUAGGGGGAGGGUUGAGAUCUCACAAACAUGUUUAACCCCGCCGCAAUUUUUGCGCCUGUCCCAAGUCAGGAGCCUCUGGCCUUUGUUAGUCUUGUAUUAUUUUAAUUUUAGUUUCUUGUGUACAAUUUGGAAAUUAGUAUGGCGUUCAUUAUCACUGAACUAGUAUAUAUUUGUUUAGGGGCCAGCUGAAGGACGCCUCCGGGUGCGGGAAUUUCUCACUACAUUGAAGACCUGUUGGUGACCUUCUGCUGUUGUUUUUUUUAUUUGGUCGGGUUGUUGUCUCUUUGACACAUUCCCCAUUUCCAUUCUCAAUU
rnacentral:lncRNA from 1 species